CCACAACAGUGGUCAGGAGGAGAUGGCAUCCAAUGAAGAGAAGAGCUAACCAUCACACCAGUUCCUGCCAUAAAGCUCCCAAAGCCCUUGGGAUUUCCUGAGUGAUGGAACGAAAGGAGUGCCUUUUAUGAUUCAUAAUAAGCCCUUUCAACCCUAUCUGGGCUCAUGCAACUGAGGUGAUACCUGAUGCCCCUCUAGAUGGCUUCAAGAUGGGGUCUGAUCACCAGAGGAACCAGCCAUGUGAUUAGAGGUGUUUUAGGGGAAAAAAAAGACUGUUCUCCAUUGAUCCAGUGGAUUACUGCACUCUGCUACUCUCCUGGCCUCCCCCCUGCAAAUUAUCAUCUACUUCCUAGAGGAAUUCUCCAAAGAUGUUAAUCACUUGCCAGCUUUAAGCAGAAUUUCUGGAUUACAUCUGAAAUUGUACCUGAUUUUGCUAAAUAAGCACUAUCUAAAAGAACAAGGAAGAGUCUGGUAUGGAUGCCUCACAGAGCAACUAACUCUGGCCAAUGUGAUUUUCCUCUGCCUUCCUGAAAGCAUCACAGAUAGAGCAAUCAAAUGCUCCCUUUGGCCAUUCCAAGCCAUGCAGACUCCAGGCCUUGGAAAGAUCACCUUACAGCUCCCUACGGCUCCCUACGGCUCUUCUCUCACAACCCAUCUCAAGGAAUGCCCAAUGGGGUAGAAGAGGAGACUUGACUUUGGCACUAGACUCUGCACGGAGGCAAGGCAGAUGCUGAGGGAACUCAGUCCCGUGGGAAUCGCCUUGUUCAAGGGAUGCAUAAAUAUUCAGACAUGGCUCAGGAGAUGGAAGGCAAGAUCAUGGAGGGGCAGGUUGAAGUGGGAUGGGAAAUGGUCCCAACUUCAGAAAGAAAGUUAACACUGGUCUGGGUGGACAGAGGGGACAGAGAGAUGUGUUAGAUUUGGUCCCUGGAAUGGAGACACCACACCCCAGCAAGGCAAGGUCUUGAAUAAAAGUGAGAUAGACACUAAACCCAUUACAGAAAUAAAAACAAGACUAAGGUGCCAAAGUGUAGGCAGAAUUGCUUGAAUCUCUCAGAAAUAAAGGAAGGUCCAUUUAUUAUGAACCACCUAGUCAGAAUUGGGCUAGUUGCAAAGGGGAAACCUUGCUAAGCUUUCAGGGUUGGUCUGGACAAGUUUAAGUAUCUGCCCAAGAAGAAAAAGGAAGAAAGGAAUGUCCUUGUGGUUUCAGCUAAAGGAAAAAGGAUUCUGAGGCUGAGCUGCAUUUGAGCACUACAGAAGGAUUGAGAAUGCUCAGUCAAUUGGAAAGAUGAGAGCCUGUAUUUCUGUGUCCUAGAACACAACUGAAGCCAAAAGAGGCAGCCUUGUGACAGAGGAACUGUGAACUGGUCAGUGGAGGAUGGGAUCCAGUCCCAGCACUGAAAUGGCUAUGGUGGCUCUGUGGGCAGCCAUGGGCAAGUGUAUACCCCUCUUUGACUCAGUUUCCCCUUCUGGAGAAAAGAAGGCCAAUUACAAUAGCUCUGAUUCCUAUUGUUCCACACCACCAAAUUCAAAUAGAUUUGUCUUUGAACAUGUGCCUUAUAAUCUAAUACAAAUGUAAAACCCUGUCCUAUCCUAAAGC